rnacentral:rRNA from 1 species
UACGGAGGGUGCAAGCGUUAUCCGGAUUCACUGGGUUUAAAGGGUGCGUAGGUGGGCAGUUAAGUCAGUGGUGAAAUCUCCGGGCUCAACCCGGAAACUGCCAUUGAUACUAUCUGUCUUGAAUAUCGUGGAGGUAAGCGGAAUAUGUCAUGUAGCGGUGAAAUGCUUAGAUAUGACAUAGAACACCAAUUGCGAAGGCAGCUUACUACCCGAAUAUUGACACUGAGGCACGAAAGCGUGGGGGAUCAAACAGG